rnacentral:rRNA from 1 species
CAGUAGCCGCGGGAAUACGUAGGUGGCAAGCGUUGUCCGGAAUUAUUGGGCGUAAAGCGCGCGCAGGCGGAUAGGUCAGUCUGUCUUAAAAGUUCGGGGCUUAACCCCGUGAUGGGAUGGAAACUGCUGAUCUAGAGUAUCGGAGGGGAAAGUGGAAUUCCUAGUGUAGCGGUGAAAUGCGUAGAUAUUAGGAAGAACACCAGUGGCGAAGGCGACUUUCUGGACGAAAACUGACGCUGAGGCGCGAAAGCUAGGGGAGCGAACGGGAUUAGAUACCCGGGUAGUCCCUGUCUCUUAUACA